rnacentral:rRNA from 1 species
UUGUGACCGGAAGUGUAGUGACAUGGACUGGUACAAGUGUAUCUCUCUGGAGGGAACAAGAGGAGACAGCAGCCGCGGUAAUUCCAGCUCCAAUAGCGUAUAUAGGAAUUGUUGCAGUUAAAAAGCUCGUAGUUGAAUUUCUGCUGUAUUGCAUUUUCUCUUUUUAUAUGAGUUUUUGCAUUAUGGCUUAUUUCAGUAUUAAUUUUUUAUUAUUACUGAAUGUUUACUUUGAGAAACUUAGAGUGCUCAAAGCAGGCUUUUGCCUUGAAUAGUUUAGCAUGGAAUAAUAAAGUAGGACUUUGGUUCUAUUUUGUUGGUUGUAGGUACCAAAGUAAUGGUUAAUAGACACAGUUGGGGGCAUUCGUAUUUUACUGUCAGAAGGUGAAAUCCUUAGAA